rnacentral:rRNA from 1 species
UACGGAGGGAGCUAGCGUUGUUCGGAUUUACUGGGCGUAAAGGGCGCGUAGGCGGCCACCGCAAGUCGACUGUGAAAUCUCCGGGCUUAACCCGGAAAGGUCAGCCGAUACUGCGGGGCUAGAGUGCAGAAGGGGCAACUGGAAUUCUCGGUGUAGCGGUGAAAUGCGUAGAUAUCGAGAGGAACACCUGCGGCGAAGGCGGGUUGCUGGGCUGACACUGACGCUGAGGCGCGAAAACUAGGGGAGCGAACGGG